GACGAACGCUGGCGGCGUGCUUAACACAUGCCAGUCGAACGGAAAGGCCCUGCUUUUGUGGGGUGCUCGAGUGGCGAACGGGUGAGUAACACGUGAGUAACCUGCCCUUGACUUUGGGAUAACUUCAGGAAACUGGGGCUAAUACCGGAUAGGAGCUCCUGCGGCAUGGUGGGGGUUGGAAAGUUUCGGCGGUUGGGGAUGGACUCGCGGCUUAUCAGCUUGUUGGUGGGGUAGUGGCUUACCAAGGCUUUGACGGGUAGCCGGCCUGAGAGGGUGACCGGCCACAUUGGGACUGAGAUACGGCCCAGACUCCUACGGGAGGCAGCAGUGGGGAAUAUUGCACAAUGGGCGGAAGCCUGAUGCAGCAACGCCGCGUGCGGGAUGACGGCCUUCGGGUUGUAAACCGCUUUCGCCUGUGACGAAGCGUGAGUGACGGUAAUGGGUAAAGAAGCACCGGCUAACUACGUG
rnacentral:rRNA from 1 species